rnacentral:snRNA from 1 species
UCGCAGACCAACUCUAUUUGUAU